rnacentral:rRNA from 1 species
UACGUAGGGGGCAAGCGUUGUCCGGAUUUAUUGGGCGUAAAGAGCUCGUAGGCGGUUCCGUAAGUCGUGAAGUCAAAUCUCUGGGCUCAACCCAGAAUCGCUUCCGAUACUGCGGUGACUGGAGUCCGGUAGGGGAGUGUGGAAUUCAUGGUGUAGCGGUGAAAUGCGCAGAUAUCAGGAGGAACACCAACAGCGAAGGCAGCACUCUGGGCCGGUACUGACGCUGAGGAGCGAAAGCAUGGGGAGCGAACAGG